rnacentral:rRNA from 1 species
UGGGGAAUAUUGCGCAAUGGGGGCAACCCUGACGCAGCCAUGCCGCGUGAGUGAAGAAGGCCUUCGGGUUGUAAAGCUCUUUCAGGUGUGAAGAUGAUGACGGUAACACCAGAAGAAGCCCCGGCUAACUUCGUGCCAGCAGCCGCGGUAAUACGAAGGGGGCAAGCGUUGUUCGGAAUCACUGGGCGUAAAGAGCGCGUAGGCGGCUAGAUUAGUCAGGGGUGAAAUCCCGGGGCUCAACCCCGGAACUGCCUUUGAUACUGUUUAGCUAGAAUCCGUGAGAGGGUGGUGGAAUUCCCAGUGUAGAGGUGAAAUUCGUAGAUAUUGGGAGGAACACCAGUGGCGAAGGCGGCCACCUGGUGCGGUAUUGACGCUGAGGCGCGAAAGCGUGGGGAGCGAACA